UCAAACUUGGUCAUUUAGAGGAAGUAAAAGUCGUAACAAGGUCUCCGUUGGUGAACCAGCGGAGGGAUCAUUACUGAGUUUAUAACUCCCAAACCCCCUGUGAACAUACCUAUCGUUGCUUCGGCGGGACAGCCCCGGCACGCCCCUCUAGGGGGGCCGCCCGGAACCAGGCGCCCGCCGGAGGCCUAAACCUUCUGUAUUUCAACUGUGUCUCCUCUGAGUGGCGAAAGCAAACAAUGAAUCAAAACUUUCAACAACGGAUCUCUUGGCUCUGGCAUCGAUGAAGAACGCAGC
rnacentral:misc_RNA from 1 species